rnacentral:rRNA from 1 species
GACGAACGCUGGCGGCGUGCUUAACACAUGCAAGUCGAACGGAAAGGCCCUGCUUUUGUGGGGUGCUCGAGUGGCGAACGGGUGAGUAACACGUGAGUAACCUGCCCUUGACUUUGGGAUAACUUCAGGAAACUGGGGCUAAUACCGGAUAGGAGCUCCUGCUGCAUGGUGGGGGUUGGAAAGUUUCGGCGGUUGGGGAUGGACUCGCGGCUUAUCAGCUUGUUGGUGGGGUAGUGGCUUACCAAGGCUUUGACGGGUAGCCGGCCUGAGAGGGUGACCGGCGACAUGGGGACUGAGAGACGGACCAGACUCCUACGGGAGGCAGCAGUGGGGAAUAUUGCACAGUGGGCGGAAGCCUGAUACAGCAACGCCGCGUGCGGGAUGACGGCCUUCGGGUUGUGAACCGCUUUCGCCUGUGACGAAGCGUGAGUGACGGUAAUGGGUAAAGAAGCACCGGCUAACUACGUG